AUUGAACGCUGGCGGCAUGCCUUACACAUGCAAGUCGAACGGCAGCACGGACUUCGGUCUGGUGGCGAGUGGCGAACGGGUGAGUAAUGUAUCGGAACGUACCUUCAGUGGGGGAUAACGUAGCGAAAGUUACGCUAAUACCGCAUAUUCUGUGAGCAGGAAAGCAGGGGAUCGCAAGACCUUGCGCUGAUUGAGCGGCCGAUAUCAGAUUAGCUAGUUGGUGAGGUAAAGGCUCACCAAGGCGACGAUCUGUAGCGGGUCUGAGAGGAUGAUCCGCCACACUGGAACUGAGACACGGUCCAGACUCCUACGGGAGGCAGCAGUGGGGAAUUUUGGACAAUGGGGGCAACCCUGAUCCAGCCAUGCCGCGUGAGUGAAGAAGGCCUUCGGGUUGUAAAGCUCUUUCGGCCGGGAAGAAAUCGCAUGGGCUAAUACCCUGUGCGGAUGACGGUACCGGCAUAAGAAGCACCGGCUAACUACGUG
rnacentral:rRNA from 1 species